AAAUUGACGAUGAAAGGGACAGUACAAUUUUUCUAUGGCUUUAAGAAGCGAACUGGGGAUGGUGAAAGCCUGGUAAAGCCGAAAGAUUGGAACAUCACCCUCGAGUUCCGGACCGAAGCCUUAUUUUUUAGGUAGUAGACUCUGGCGUGUUAUUCACGUUACGAAUGGUCAAGCGGAUUGGUCGAAGCAUGUCGGCUUAUCUAUCAGGGUGGUACCGCGGGAAUCAAACCUUCUCGUCCCUUUU
rnacentral:ncRNA from 1 species